UCGAGAGGCUUCGGCAAUGGGGGAAACCCUGACCGAGCGACGCCGCGUGGAGGAUGAAGGCCCUUGGGUCGUAAACUCCUUUCGUGGGGAAAGAAUGUGUCCGGGGUGAACAAUCCCGGGCAUUGACGGUCCCCCAAGAAGAAGCUCCGGCUAACUCCGUGCCAGCCGCCGCGGUAAUACGGGGGGAGCAAGCGUUGUUCGGAAUCACUGGGCGUAAAGGGCGUGUAGGCGGUUCGGCAAGUGGGAUGUGAAAUGCCCCGGCUCACCCGGGGACCUGCAUCCCAAACUGCUGAGCUUGAGUACAGGAGAGGGUGGGGGAAUUCCAGGUGUAGCGGUGAAAUGCGUAGAUAUCUGGAGGAACACCGGUGGCGAAGGCGCCCACCUGGCCUGCUACUGACGCUGAGGCGCGAAAGCUAGGGGAGCAAA
rnacentral:rRNA from 1 species